ensembl:lncRNA
AAAACGAUGUUGGUGAAAUGCAUUCUGUUCAAUCUAGAAUACUUUACAUCAGAGUUUCAUUGCCAAACCUGCUGUGUUCUGUUUUGUUUGUGCAAUGCAGAUGACAAAGGAACAGCUUGCAAAAUUGUGCAAGACCAUUGUCAACUUCAUUGCACAGACCACCCUGCAGCUCCUGCUGCCGGCCCUGGCCAGCAUUCUAGGGGUGACGGGCUUUUAUGACAACGCUGACUCACUCAAGAGGGGUGGCAGUGCAAGAUCCUUCACUGCCUUUGAGCAGAAAAGACUGGAGCUCAUCCAGGAAGUUAAAUAUUUGGCGAAGUAACUGUGGCGGCAGGGCUCUCCGACCAAGGUCUAGCACACCCUCUUCCAAGAGGUACUGUAUGUUCCCCAUAAUGUGUGUGUGUGUGUGUGCAGUUAAUCCUAACCCUCAAACUGAUGAACAAUAAUUUCCCCAUUUCAAUAUUUUCCAGCUUUCUAACAGGUGUGUUUUGCAAUAUCUAAUGCACACAUAUAAAUUACAUUUAGAAUACUCAAUUAUAAUGCUUGUUAGAUUUGUUAGCACUAAGAUAUCGAUUUUCCAACUUCAGACAGCAAUUAACAUGCUUUGCUUGUUCAUUUUAAAGUUCCCAGACCUCACUGAAAGUCCACCUGGGAAUGCCAGAGGACAGUAUCAUCAGCAGUGUCCAGGAGCAACUGUCAAAAUCUGACCAAAUGGUGGCUGCAGGACAGCUUUCACAAAUAGAUAAAGUGGUUGGAACUAUGCUGGAGAACAUUGAGAAGAUAAGCAGCAAAUGUGGCGAGGAAUUGGUCUAUCAAGAGUCACUGCGGUCUUCCUCCUCGUUGUCAUUCUCAACUGCCAAAUCACAGAAGACAGAGUGGGAAUUUGCACUCCCAUUCCUUCUGAGUUACCCGAGAGUACUGCUCAGCCCAUUGUAAGAUGCUCAGUCAUUGACAUGAGCGAAUCUACUAAGCCAAAAACAAUGGUGUGUGAUGCCAGAACAAGCAUGUUUGCCAUAGCCGAUACCAUCAUGAAGAAGGUAUAUCCAGAGGCAGAAGGGCAGGUUACAUCUCACCCUGAUCUAACAGAUGCAAUAGCUAGACUGGAGGAGCUCAUAUAUCAGGGUAGGAUUGGUGCUCUCUCCCGUGAUCUCAGUCACCAAGUGAACCGCAUAAUUUCCGAUAGCAACUUGACCCCUCUGGGACUGACAGUGGUGGCUGGAAAGAGUGCAUCUGAUACCAUCCUUUCGAAGCUGAAGAGGAAUAACAAGGUGUGGAAGCCCACAACUUACGAGCUGGUUCAGCUGUUUGUAGAGGAGUCUGUUAAGUGCCUCCUGCUUCCUAGUUUUGUGCCCUAUUCAACUUCAAUGAGUUUGGCUCAGGGGGCCAAGGUGUUGGCUAGAGUGUCUGAAGAUAGAAUUUCAUGCUCUUCUUCUUCAUCAGUAUUUAGUGACACAGUCAGUCUCUUUACCAAAGUUAUGGUAAGCCAGGUCAUGUACUCUGUGGAUUCUGAUGCAGAAAGUAGAGGAUCCUCUCCAACUGAAUCUCUCCAAACAUCUGAAACCACUAUAUCUGAUGUAGGCAAUCUAUUGAGUGGCAAGUCCUCCCCUGGGCUGUCUCCUUCUGGCGCCAUUAUGGCAACAAGCGAGACCUCCAAUGCAGCACAAAUCUUGAAGGCCAACAUUGAUGGAGAGGAAGUGGAUACCACCAGUCAUUCUGGUGUAGCUCAAAACAUUGUCAGGGACGAUAUGUCAACCAGCCCAGACAUGGUCAAAGAUGUCACACUUCCAACCCCAUCCUCUGAUAACUUGGGCAGUGAUGAUGACUUCACCGGCCUCAUCAGCAUGUUAGUAAUGAGAAUUCUAACAGAAAUCCAAACCCCAGCAGAAGAUUACCCAGUUGACGUCACACGCAAGUCACAAGACCUGAUCCCUAAAGUUAUGGAGGUCUUCUGUGCAUGGUCAGGCUGCUCUGAGACACAAGCCUAUCCAGAGAACUUGAGGAUUCAUAAAGUCUACAGAGUCGUCUAUAAAAAUCUGUUGGAGGAGUUUGGCUCGGAGAAAAUCCUCCAACAGGCCGUGUCGACUCAGGACUCUUCAUUUGAUAGGAUUCUUGUCAAGUCUUUGAGUGAAGCGCUUCUCCACAGAUGUAAUGAGGCAUUGAGGGCAGCCUCAAGAACAUCAGUCAAAACCACCGGGCCUAAGGCUCUUCCACUGGCUGAGGAUGUGAGGGCUAGCAGCGGGAAACUAUCUUUUCUACAAAGGCUGGUCAGGCUGACAAGCAACUUAAAGCUAUUCAAGAAGGGGAACAAGAAGGAUUCCCACCGCUCUGAAUCAGAACAAGUACAGACCACUGCUGAAGAUGGCAUGCUGCCCAGCAUAGUGCCACAUGCUGCCAUGUCUGCACUGCCAAAGGAUCUCCCCGCCAGCUCCCAACAGGAGACGCCUCACAAACGUCCACUUCUCGUCAGAAUGUUUUCUGCCAUCUCCAAAGGCCUGUUCAAGCCCUUCAAACAGUCCUUAAAGACCAAGUAACUUAAGACAAUUUAUUAAACGUCAUUCAUUGCAUUAAAUUGGCCUUUGUCUUCUUAUGUGCUCCCGUUAACAGACUAGAUUACAAUACUGGUCUUUUAAAUGUUAGCAGUGAUAGCAACAUUGACUAUAGUGGUGUGUGUAUAGCCCUUCUACACAGUCUGACUCUUCUGACACUGUGUGACAUGCCCUCUGAUCCAUUGAUCUAGGAUACUCUGAGUGGCUUUAGGCCUGAAUCUCUGCCCUCCGGCCCAAAUAAAUGUUUUCUCUUCUGAUAGAUCUGCCACUGUCAGCAGCCAGCAGGGGAAACCAGACAGCGCUGUUGAGAGCUUUCUUUUCUCCCUCAUGACUAAAACACUGAGAAAGGCUUUUAUCUAUUGCAGCAUAUUCCAUCUUUUGAUUUAACCUAUUAUACGGUAGAAGUACCCAUUAUUUCCCAACGGUUAUAUCACAGGAAAUGUGUUAUAAAAAGUAAACUUACAGUGCAUCCGGAAAGUAUUCAGACCACUUGACUUUUUCCACAUUGUUACAUUACAGCCUUAUUCUAAAAUUGAUACAAUUUUUUUUUCCUCAUUAAGCUACACAAAACACCUCAUGACAAAGCGAAAAGUGUAUAACAUUUUAGCAAAUUUAUUAAGAAUAAAAACAGAAUUACCUUGUUUAA